CCUUUAGAGUAAUAACCAAACUUGCUUGGUCGGGACUACUGGCGUCCUUUUCGACGCUGUUAUGUUAAGGAAAAGGUCGUGGGUGGGCUUACGUAUCCGUGACACGUGGGAACGGGAA